AGAGUGAAAAGGCUGCGGCUCAACCGUUAGUAAGCUUUUGAAACUAGAGAACUUGAGUGCAGGAGGGGAGAGUGGAAUUCCUAGUGUAGCGGUGAAAUGCGUAGAUAUUUGGAGGAACACCAGUAGCGAAGGCGGCUCUCUGGACUGUAACUGACACUGAGGCACGAAAGCGUGGGGAGCAAACAGGAUUAGAUACCCUGGUAGUCCACGCCGUAAACGAUGAGUACUAGGUGUCGGGGGUUACCCCCCUCGGUGCCGCAGCUAACGCAUUAAGUACUCCGGCUGGGAAGUACGCUCGCGGAGAGAAACUCAAAGGAAUUGACGGGGACCCGCACAAGUAGCGGAGCAUGUGGUUUAAUUCGAAGCAACGCGAAGAACCUUACCUAAGCUUGACGUCCCACUGACCUCUCCCUAAUAGAAGAUUUCCCUUCUGGGACAGUGGUGAAAGGGUGGUGCAU
rnacentral:rRNA from 1 species